rnacentral:rRNA from 1 species
GACGAACGCUGGCGGCGUGCUUAACACAUGCAAGUCGAGCGGAAAGGCCCUUUCGGGGGUACUCGAGCGGCGAACGGGUGAGUAACACGUGAGUAAUCUGCCCCUGGCUUUGGGAUAGCCACCGGAAACGGUGCUUAAUACCGGAUACCACCACUUCUCGCAUGGGAUGGUGGUGGAAAGUUUUUCGGCCAGGGGUGUGCUCGGGGCCUAUCAGCUUGAUGGUGAGGUAAUGGCUCACCAUGGCUUGGACGGGUAGCCGGCCUGAGAGGGUGACCGGUCACACUGGGACUGAGACACGGCCCAGACUCCUACGGGGGGCAGCAGUGGGGAAUAUUGGACAAUGGGCGGAAGCCUGAUCCAGCAACGCCGCGUGAGGGAUGACGGCCUUCGGGUUGUAAACCUCUUUCAGCAGGGACGAAGCGCAAGUGACGGUACCUGCAGAAGAAGCACCGGCCAACUACGUGCCAGCAGCCGCCGUAA